CUACUCCCGUGGAUUCUGUUGGUCAGCCGGUCCACGCCGAAUCUGAACGCUCCACUGGUGUCCGCUCUUGUUGAUCGGUGGAGGCCGAAGACGCACAGUUUUCAUCUUCGGACUGGGGAGAUGACCGUGACGCUCGAGGAUGUCUCGUUGAUCACCGGUCUUGCUAUCGACGGGAGG
rnacentral:rRNA from 1 species